AUUGAACGCUGGCGGCAGGCCUAACACAUGCAAGCCGAACGGUAACAGGAAACAGCUUGCUGUUUCGCUGACGAGUGGCGGACGGGUGAGUAAUGUCUGGGAAACUGCCUGAUGGAGGGGGAUAACUACUGGAAACGGUAGCUAAUACCGCAUAACGUCGCAAGACCAAAGAGGGGGACCUUCGGGCCUCUUGCCAUCGGAUGUGCCCAGAUGGGAUUAGCUAGUAGGUGGGGUAACGGCUCACCUAGGCGACGAUCCCUAGCUGGUCUGAGAGGAUGACCAGCCACACUGGAACUGAGACACGGUCCAGACUCCUACGGGAGGCAGCAGUGGGGAAUAUUGCACAAUGGGCGCAAGCCUGAUGCAGCCAUGCCGCGUGUAUGAAGAAGGCCUUCGGGUUGUAAAGUACUUUCAGCGGGGAGGAAGGGAGUAAAGUUAAUACCUU
rnacentral:rRNA from 1 species